rnacentral:rRNA from 1 species
CCUACGGGAGGCUGCAGUGGGGAAUAUUGGACAAUGGGGGCAACCCUGAUCCAGCCAUGCCGCGUGUGUGAAGAAGGCCCUCGGGUUGUAAAGCACUUUCAGUGAGGAAGAACGCCUGGUGGUGAAUACCCAUCAGGAAAGACAUCACUCACAGAAGAAGCACCGGCUAACUCCGUGCCAGCAGCCGCGGUAAUACGGAGGGUGCGAGCGUUAAUCGGAAUUACUGGGCGUAAAGCGCGCGUAGGUGGCUUGAUAAGCCGGUUGUGAAAGCCCCGGGCUCAACCUGGGAACGGCAUCCGGAACUGUCAAGCUAGAGUGCAGGAGAGGAAGGUAGAAUUCCCGGUGUAGCGGUGAAAUGCGUAGAGAUCGGGAGGAAUACCAGUGGCGAAGGCGGCCUUCUGGACUGACACUGACACUGAGGUGCGAAAGCGUGGGUAGCAAACAGGAUUAGAUACCCGAGUAGUC